CUGGGGGAAGCUCUGCCUGCCUCCUCAGGCCGCCCGCAAACUGCUCGUGGCCCAGGGACCUCAGGGUUGCCUCCAGUGGACACACUUCGUGUCUUGCUAGAGCCCCGUUUCUAAGGGAGAGGCAGCCGACAGCUUGCUGGGAGAUUUCUAAGAAGAAAGCUGGUGGGGUGGCUACUGCUUUCUAGAUUACUCAGUGUGUGACUGGAAACACACUGGUCGCUUUGCACGGUCACAGCCGGCACAGCCUGUAGUCACAGAAUGUUCUGGGCUCACCCUCUUCUCUGGCCUGGGGAAGUGAGGCUCAGCGUAGAGGCUGUACCCACAGGCACAUGACGGUCUGCACCCAGGCCAGGGCUCAGUGAGGAGCCGGAGUGUCCCGGCCUGCCUGGACUCCAGCCGGGACCUCCCACAUGAGGCUCAUUCAUCUAUGCCCAGGAUUCUCAAAGAACCCCGGCCCCAGCCUGCUCUCUGUCAUGUGCUGAGCCCCAAGCUUACCCAUGCCUCCUGCCGUGGGGACCAGAGAAUGAGAAGACCACCAGGGAGACCCGCCCUGGAGACCAUGGUGUGCUGCUGACUCACGAGAAUGACAUCACCAAGUGUGCCCUCUGUCCUGUCACUUGGAGCUCCUGGAAGCACAGAAUGUCCCUCAGCCUGGACACUGCCCCUGGCCUGGGGAGGUAGAUGCUCCCCACCUCCCCUCCUGCCCUAGUGCAGAGGAAAGAAGAUCAAAUCUGGAGUCAGCAGACAUAGGAGUCUAAUCCCUGGUUCUGAUAUAUCUAGGCAGUCAUUGCCUUAGCCACACUCAGCCUUAAUCUCCUGAUCUGCAAAAUGGGGAGAACCACACUAACUUUGCAGUUUGCGGUGAGAGUCAAGGAAACCCACGUGAGAAGUGUCUGGCACUGUGCCUCGCAUGUAGAGCCAUUUGACAAGCUCUUGUUGAACAAAUGCUACACAUGAACACAUGGGCUGUGUCCUGAAGCUGGAUGUGCAGUCUUGAAGGAAUCCUACGCUUCAUGAAUGAGGAUUUGACAUCUGGCAGAGGUCUUUAUGAACACAUUUAUGAUCAUCCUUCAAAGCAACCACAUGAAAUGGGCCAGGGGCUUGUUCUCUUUUAGCAGACAGACGGGUUGAGUCACCACAAGAUGCUGUUAUGGUUUAAAUGUGUGGAGCUAUAUAUAUACAUACACACAUACACAUGUAUAUAUCAAUCAAGCUAUACUUAUCCCCAAUAACAGAGAGGAAAAAUAUAUUAUUAGAAUAAGAGCCGCAUAUUUUGGAAAACUUACCAUGUGCCAGAGACUGUUCUAAUUAUUUUAUAAACAUGUCUCUUGUGGUUUUCAAGAUAACUAUAGAAGGUAACUAUUAUUACUUUUUAACAAAUGAAAGCAAACCUCAGGUUAAGUGACUGGCCCAAGGUCACACAGCAAGCAGUGACAGAGCUAAGUUGCGCUGGCUCUAAAGACCAUGUGUUAUCAACAGCGUCCUCCUGCCUUCUUAUGAAAUGGAAUCCAUAUCAAACUGCUAAGCUUUGUUUUUAGCAAAUAACAUGACUGUCUGGGCUGUGGGCUUAAGGAACAGUGAGUUUGGGGGCAAAGGUCACCCUCUAAUAGUGCUUCAUAAUAUUUCUCCCAGAGAAAGACUCUGGAGCCAGGCAGAUCUGGAUCCAGAUUCCAGUUCUGCCACUUCCUAGCUGUGUCCUCUCACUGAGCUCUCAGAGGCCUCCUUGGCCCGCAUGCUCAGUGGAGUGUCUGGUUGGCCCCGCAGCCCUUGUGUCCAGAUCUGCUGGGCGACACAGUGCCUGGCUGUGCCCUGCAGAGGCUUUCCUGUCCCUGGCUCCCAUGCUUCCCCUGAGGAGAGCAGGCGAUGGGUGUCAGCUUAUGUGAGCCCUUUGGUUGCAUGGAUCGGGUGAAAAACAGACAGAGCUGAAGAAUUUGAACUGAGAUGUCAAUUGUGGAGCAGGAUUACUCAUAGCAGCCACCGCCCACUAGGCCAGAACACCUUCGUUUAAACAAACCAACAUCCCAGGGGACAGUGCCUGUUGAGCAAGCUGCUGAGAGCCCUUCACUAGUGCUGAGUCCUCAGGCCUGCAGGGGACACUCCACAUCUGACCCUGCAGGAGAGCGGUGUCCAGGAGCAGGCACCUCAGAUCCAUCCAAGUCACACAGGGAGGCCAGAAGGGCAGCGGGGACACUGAACGCUCUACACGUCCUGAGGUCCCUGACCUCAUAGGCUGGAGGGGAGCAUUUGCUUUGUCUUGUGGAAAGUCCCCAAGUGGAUGGGCUAACAAUCGAUUCCAGUUGCACCCACGCUGCUAACUCUGGCCAUGUUUCCUAUACUUCCGUUCCUGUGAUCCAUCUCUUGCCCCUUCCAGAUCAGACAGUGACCUCCCGGGCCUCCUGGGGAUGCAGUUGUCCUCCCUGCACUCAGAUCUGGAGCUGCUGCUUCCUAGCGGAGGAGUCAGCCUACCGAGCCAGGCCGUUGUCAAGCCCUGAGCCCUCCCCACUUCCGCCUCUGCCCGCUUUCCUGUCCCAGCUGUGAGCCUCUCCGGGGACUCAUUUAAACUGAAGACAAUUGCCUCAGAUAAAGAACAACUGGCCUCCUCCCUAUGUGGCUAAAAUUAUCAAAAACCGAAGAGGGCGUUGCUGACCUCAGCCUUCCCCAGCCUUUCUCCUGCCUUGGUCCACUUGAAUAUCCCUCUGGGAGCCUGUGACAGCUGCCUACGUGGGACCCCACACAGAAACGGGGCUGAAGAAGGCAGUCCCAGCCUCGCAAGGCAUUCAGUUCCUGCAGUGUCUGCAGCCAAAUCCCAAGAUAGAGCCAGUCUGCUUGGUUCCCUGGCCCCAGGUUUCUCAGAGCUCCUCCGGCAGCCCAGGAGGCUGAGCUGCACUGCCUGCAUUUCCUGGCUUCACAUCACGUACACAUAGAGCUUGGGGCCCGGGCAACCAUGGCAUGGAAGCCCAGACCACCUAAAUUCUUCCUUAGGACCACCAGUGCCAUUGCCUCAGCCAUAACCCCCUGAGACUCCUCGCGGACCAGCAUGGCGACUGGUCCCACAACCAUCUCCAUGCCUGCUUCCUCUUCCCCAUUCAAGCUUCUCAACAUCUGUCAUUCUUGGUGUUAGCUAUAUCCCAGCUCCUGUAUUAUUCCAUUGCAUCCAGAAUGCUUUGAGGAAGGAAUGUCAUAGACCCCCUUUUUUAACCCCCUCUUCCCAGAGAGAUGUGCUCAGGAAUAGGUGCCCAACAGGAAGUAUUUGAUUGAGAGCUUAUUUGUCCCUCCAGGAGAUAUUCAAGGAGAGCCCCCAUCCAGACCCCAAGCGAGAAGAGCUACCGUGUCUCACAGGGCCCACAGCCCAUCACCCACAUCAUCCCACGGAGGGCGGGGAUUAUGCCCAGUGUGCAGAAGGGUUGACAAAGGCCAGGUAGGGGAAGUGGCUGGCUCUGCUUACAUGGACCCAAGACUCACUCCAGAACCCCUGACCUUCCGCUGAAGGAUCUUUGCACCAACUCUCCUGGCCCCAGUGGGUCUGGCUCACCAGAAGUUAGGCCUGGAAGGGAGGAGGCUGGGUGGGGGGACAUAGAAGGCAAAAGCAGCAGUGUCCUCACAUGGAACUGUUCCUCCAGGUCCUUUCCCUGGGACCCCUCCCUGGAGAGCUCUCCCUGCUCUCUCUGGCUUCCUUUCCCUUCUGUCAACCCUAAUAGCAUAGGUUUUGGUGUCAGGCAGUCCUGCGUUGGAAUCUCAGAUUCCCAGGGACAGUCAUGAUUUAUACGUGUUGUCCCGGUAUACUAAUACAUCAAGGCUCCUUGUCACCCUCAAACAUGCGCAUUAGGACCAUGCAUCAUGUGUCCCGCUUACAAAGACAGAAGGCAAGGUCUGUGGACAGCUGGAGGAUGACCUAGUUAGGGAGCCUCUAGGAACCCAUCUAGUUCUGCGAUGGAGGGGAACAGAGAAUGGGGUGUUUCCCUGAUGACCCUGCUGUGGAGGAGCUGGCUGCUUCUGCAGGGAGAUGCUGCAGCCCCAGAAGGAAGCCCUGGCCAUGUGUCUCAAGUUGCUUUGCAAAACAAGCACCAGGAAAGAAAAACAGCAUCUAUAUUUCCCUGAGGUGGGCCAGCAUCCAGAGGCUGAAGGCACCUGGGGAUAGGGACACUACAUCACACACUUCAGGGGGUGCCAGUCAUGUCACGGUCUGUGUGAACGGUGCCUCCUGGGAAUGUACAGCUCCCAGCCUGCUCACUGCAAAGCAGGAAUUGGUGAGCUGUGACUAGAUGAUGUCAGAGAGCAAGAAUAAGUAAGGACCAGGAAAGCUACAAAAUAUAGAAGACUACAUCUUUUUUAAAUUAAUUAAUUAGUUAAUUUAUUUAUUUAUUUAUUAUGUUUUGAGACAGAGCCUUGCUCUGUUGCUCAGGCUGGAGUGCAGUGGUAUGAUCUCUGCUCACUGCAACCUCCAUCUACCAGGUUCAAGCAACUCUCCUGCCUCAGCCUCCUGAGUAGCUGGGAUUACAGGCGCUCAUCACCAUGCCCAGCUAAUUUUUGUAUUUUUAGUAGAGACAGGGUUUCACCAUGUUUGCCAGGCUGGUCUCAAACUCCUGACCUUGUGAUCCAUCUGCCUCAGCCUCCCAAAGUGCUGGGAUUACAGGCAUGAGCCACCAUGCCCAGCCGAAAGCCUACAUCUUUAAGGAGAGGAAUCAUUCUGUCUGGGGAGGAACUCCUUUAAAUCAGUUCAACUCAACUCAUAUGAACAAAUAUUGAUCAUGCAAUUACUGUGCGCUCUGCUGGGCAAGGCCAUUAUGGUGGGGGUGGCGGUGGGGUGAUCAGGCAUCCUGAUCAGGCAGGGGUGAUCAGGCAGGCGGUGGGGUGAUCAGGCAUUGAGAAGCUCAUAGGACAGGAGGGGAGUGCGCAGGGUCUGUCCCUUCCUCUCCCCAGGCAGA
rnacentral:lncRNA from 10 species